rnacentral:rRNA from 1 species
CUACGGGUCGCUGCAGUGGGGAAUAUUGGACAAUGGGGGAAACCCUGAUCCAGCAGUGCCGCGUGUGUGAAGAAGGCCUGCGGGUUGUAAAGCACUUUCGGUUGGGAGGACUGCUUCUAGCACUAAUAUUGUUGGAAGUUGACGUUACCUUCAGAAGAAGCACCGGCUAACUCCGUGCCAGCAGCCGCGGUAAUACGGAGGGUGAAAGCGUUAAUCGGAAUUACUGGGCGUAAAGCGCGCGUAGGCGGCUAGAUCAGUCGGGUGUGAAAGCCCCGGGCUGAACCUGGGAACUGCAUCCGAUACUGUCUAGCUUGAGUACAGGAGAGGAGAGUGGAAUUCCACAUGUAGCGGUGAAAUGCGUAGAUAUGUGGAGGAACACCAAUGGCGAAGGCAGCUCUCUGGCCUGAUACUGACGCUGAGGUGCGAAAGCGUGGGGAGCAAACAGGAUUAGAUACCCUUGUAGUC